rnacentral:lncRNA from 1 species
CUCAAUCUUUGACCAUAAUUUACCAUUAACAUUUCAGCCGCUAGCUUUAUCGCUCAUAAUUUGGCUGUAAUGAUAGUAUGUUAUUGGCCGCAAGCUUCAUCACUCACCUUUGGCCUUUGCUUAAUACUCAUAAAUUGGCCGCAACUCUUACGCUUGCUUAUUUAAAGGGAUGAAAUAAUCUCCUUCAUGUCAAGUUAGAGUUAAUCUCCUUGAUAAAAAGUUGAGAGUUACCCUUUGGCCCCA